rnacentral:rRNA from 1 species
AGCUCCAAUAGCGUAUAUUAAAGUUGUUGCAGUUAAAAAGCUCGUAGUUGGAUUUCGGGGUGGCCUGGCUGGUCCACCGCAAGGUGAGUACUGGUCAGCCGCCCUUCCUCUCGAAAGCCCCGACUGCUCUUCACUGCAGUGGUCGGGUAGUUCGGGACGUUUACUUUGAAAAAAUUAGAGUGUUCAAGGCAGGCUAUCGCCUGAAUACAUUAGCAUGGAAUAAUGGAAGAGGACCUCGGUCCUAUUUUGUUGGUUUCUAGGGCCGAAGUAAUGAUUAAGAGGGACAGUUGGGGGCAUUCGUAUUUAAUUGUCAGAGGUGAAAUUCUUGGAUUUAUGAAAGACGAACUAGUGCGAAAGCAUUUGCCAAGGAUGUUUUCAUUAAUCAAGAACGAAAGUACGC